rnacentral:rRNA from 1 species
UACAGAGGGUGCGAGCGUUGUCCGGAAUCACUGGGCGUAAAGGGCGCGUAGGCGGCUUGAUAAGCGUGCGGUGAAAGCCCGGGGCUCAACCCCGGGUCGGCCGUGCGAACUGUCGAGCUGGAGCACUGUAGAGGCAGGUGGAAUUCCGGGUGUAGCGGUGGAAUGCGUAGAGAUCCGGAAGAACACCGGUGGCGAAGGCAGGUCUCUGGGCCACUACUGACGCUGAGAAGCGAAAGCAUGGGGAGCGAACAGG